rnacentral:rRNA from 1 species
UUCCAGACUCCUACGGGAGGCAGCAGUGAGGAAUAUUGGUCAAUGGCCGAGAGGCUGAACCAGCCAAGUCGCGUGAGGGAAGAAUGUCCUAAGGAUUGUAAACCUCUUUUGUCGGGGAGCAAAAAGGCUCUGCGGAGUCGUAUUGAGAGUACCCGAAGAAAAAGCAUCGGCUAACUCCGUGCCAGCAGCCGCGGUAAUACGGAGGAUGCGAGCGUUAUCCGGAUUUAUUGGGUUUAAAGGGGGCGCAGGCGGCGUGUCAAGCAAGCGUGAAAAUAGGGGGGCUCACCCCCGGCGAGCCGUUGAAACUGGCGGGCUGGAGUUGGAGAGAAGUACGCGGAAUGCGCGGUGUAGCGGUGAAAUGCUUAGAUAUCGCGCAGAACCCCGAUUGCGAAGGCAGCGUACCGGCUCCACACUGACGCUGAGGCACGAAAGCGUGGGUAUCGAACAGGAUUAGAUACCCCCGUA